AGAUUGAACGCUGGCGGCAUGCCUUACACAUGCAAGUCGAACGGUAACAGGUUAAGCUGACGAGUGGCGAACGGGUGAGUAAUAUAUCGGAACGUGCCCAGUCGUGGGGGAUAACUGCUCGAAAGAGCAGCUAAUACCGCAUACGACCUGAGGGUGAAAGCGGGGGAUCGCAAGACCUCGCGCGAUUGGAGCGGCCGAUAUCAGAUUAGGUAGUUGGUGGGGUAAAGGCCCACCAAGCCAACGAUCUGUAGCUGGUCUGAGAGGACGACCAGCCACACUGGGACUGAGACACGGCCCAGACUCCUACGGGAGGCAGCAGUGGGGAAUUUGGACAAUGGGCGCAAGCCUGAUCCAGCCAUGCCGCGUGCGGGAAGAAGGCCUUCGGGUGUAAACCGCUUUGUCAGGAAGAAAAGGUUCUAGGUUAAUACUGGACUCAUGACGGUACCUGAAGAAUAAGCACCGCUAACUACGUGCCAGCAGCCGCGUAA
rnacentral:rRNA from 1 species